GAUAGUGGCGAACGGGUGAGUAACACGUGGGCAAUCUGCCCUGCACUCUGGGACAAGCCCUGGAAACGGGGUCUAAUACCGGAUAUUGACCUUCACGGGCAUCUGUGAGGUUCGAAAGCUCCGGNGGUGCAGGAUGAGCCCGCGGCCUAUCAGCUUGUUGGUGAGGUAAUGGCUCACCAAGGCGACGACGGGUAGCCGGCCUGAGAGGGCGACCGGCCACACUGGGACUGAGACACGGCCCAGACUCCUACGGGAGGCAGCAGUGGGGAAUAUUGCACAAUGGGCGAAAGCCUGAUGCAGCGACGCCGCGUGAGGGAUGACGGCCUUCGGGUUGUAAACCUCUUUCAGCAGGGAAGAAGCGAAAGUGACGGUACCUGCAGAAGAAGCGCCGGCUAACUACGUGCCAGCAGCCGCGGUAAUACGUAGGGCGCAAGCGUUGUCCGGAAUUAUUGGGCGUAAAGAGCUCGUAGGCGGCUUGUCACGUCGGUGGUGAAGCCGGGGCUUAACCCCGGGUCUGCAGUCNAUACGG
rnacentral:rRNA from 1 species